rnacentral:rRNA from 1 species
AUUCCUACGGGAGGCAGCAGUGAGGAAUUUUGCGCAAUGGGCGAAAGCCUGACGCAGCGACGCCGCGUGGAGGAUGAAGUCUUUCGAGAUGUAAACUUCUGUCAGUAGGGAUGAUAAUGACAGUACCUACAGAGGAAGCACCGGCUAACUCCGUGCCAGCAGCCGCGGUAAUACGGAGGGUGCAAGCGUUGUUCGGAAUUACUGGGCGUAAAGCGUACGUAGGCGGCGAGUUAAGUCGAAUGUUAAAGCCCGGGGCUCAACCCCGUGGAUGCCUUCGAUACUGGCUUGCUAGAGGGUGAUAGAGGAAAGUGGAAUUCCGAGUGUAGCGGUGAAAUGCGUAGAUAUUCGGAGGAACAUCAGUAGCGAAGGCGACUUUCUGGGUCACACCUGACGCUGAGGUACGAAAGCGUGGGUAGCAAACAGGAUUAGAUACCCUGGUAGUCCACGCCGUAAACGAUGGAUGCUAGGUGUAGCGGGUAUCAACCCCUGCUGUGCCGAAGUUAACGCGAUAAGCAUCCCGCCUGGGGAGUACGUUCGCAAGAAUGAAACUCAAAGGAAUUGACGGAAU